CUCCUCUCUACUGGGGCCCGACUGCAGUCUCCUACCAGUCACCUCUGUCCAGAGUCUCUCAGCACAGCUGUCCUUCUGCUUCUCCCAUGUGCCUCCAGGAAGCCCCCGAGCUCCUGACUUUCUGAGGGAAAGAGACAGCCUGGCAAUGGGAGACAGUGCCAAGUGAGCCGUUUCUGCCUGCCCAGCUCUGAGUUGGCACGCCACACACGAUGGCUCCUUCAGGGUUCCCAGUACUAGAUGGGGUCAGAAUAAUUGGUACCGGAUUUUACAGAGCUGAUGACAAGAACGGCAAAAACAAGAAAGAUAGCCCGCUGCCCCUGCCACAGCCUGCACUCAGACUCAGGCAGUCUGUCCAUCAGCUCAUCCAUUGCUUCCCCAUGUCAGACCAUGAAAGACCUGGGCAUGCCAGAGGGAAGAAUUCAUUGUAGGACAGGCUCCUCACUCUAGCACACAAAGAGUCAUCCUCAAAGGAGGCUGGGGGUAACUGGCAGGAAGCCAGGAGAGAGAUGGGGAUUGGAGCCUUUGAAAUAGGAAGAACAAUAAGCCCAGUGUGGCUGGAAAACAGGAAGUGAUCCUGAAUGAUGUGGGAGGGGCGAGGCUUUGACUGUUGUGGGCAUGGGCAGGUGAGGGCAGGUGAAGGCAGGUGAAGGCAGGUGAGGACAGGCAUGAGCAGGUGUGAACAUGAACAGGUGAGAGCAGAUAUGAACAGGCAUGGGCAGGUAUGGGCAUGAAAAGGUGAGGGCAGGUGUGAGCAAGCCUGGACAGGUGAGGACAGAUGCAAACAGGUGUGAGCCAGUGUGAGUGUGGCAGGUCUGAGCAGGCAUCAACAGGUAAGGGCAGGUAUGGGCAUUUGAAGACACAAUAGACUAGGCACGGGCAGGCAUGGACACAUGUGAACAGCUGCAGGCAGGUUGAGUUAAGACGAGCAUAGACAGGUCUGAAUAGGCUGAAGCGGGUGUUGGCACCCUGGGCAACAGGCAGGUGUUUCUCUCUCCCUUAGAAAAAGGUCUCCCUCACUACUGUCUUCUUCCCAAAGUUGUCACCUCUCUGUGCCCCACCCCCACCCUUUGUGCCUCCCAUUCAAUAAUCUGCCCUGAACCUUGUUGCACGCUGGGCACUGCAUCAGCCACUGGGAAUAGACCCAUUAAUAAGGUGCAUGAAUAAAUCACGGCGGCCCCUGAAGAGAAGAGCAGCUCUGAGUGCUAUUAUAAAGUGGCAUGUGGAGGCAGAGAAAGGAGCAAUUAAAACUGCCAGCCAGCGGCUGGCUACUGGUACUCCAGCUGGGCCUGAAGGGUCACAAAGGUCGUAUCACCAAGUCCACAGCCUGGCACACAUGCAGCAGACUAUCUGGCAGCCCGAGUUCUGCCUGAACGACAGCUGAGCAGGCCAGCACCUGAAGGGCCUUAAGGACCUAGACAGGAGUUGUGGCUGCACCUUCAG
ensembl:lncRNA